GACGAACGCUGGCGGCGUGCUUAACACAUGCAAGUCGAACGGUGAAGCGCUUGCCUUUUUGGUGGGUGUGGAUGAGUGGCGAACGGGUGAGUAACACGUGAGUAACCUGCCCUCUUCUUCUGGAUAACCUCAUGAAAGUGGGGCUAAUACGGGGUAUUCCGGGUCUGUCGCAUGGCGGGUUUGGGAAAGAUUGCGCCUUUGGGUGUUUUCGGUGGGGGAUGGGCUCGCGGCCUAUCAGCUUGUUGGUGGGGUGAUGGCCUACCAAGGCGGUGACGGGUAGCCGGCCUGAGAGGGUGGACGGCCACACUGGGACUGAGACACGGCCCAGACUCCUGCGGGAGGCAGCAGUGGGGAAUAUUGCACAAUGGGCGCAAGCCUGAUGCAGCGACGCCGCGUGAGGGAUGGAGGCCUUCGGGUUGUGAACCUCUUUCGCCAGUGAAGCAGGCCUGCUCCUGUGUGGGUGGGUUGACGGUAGCUGGGUAAGAAGCGCCGGCUAACUACGUG
rnacentral:rRNA from 1 species